GUUGACCUCGGAUCAGGUAGGGAUACCCGCUGAACUUAAGCAUAUCAAUAAGCGGAGGAAAAGAAA
rnacentral:rRNA from 1 species